AGAGUUUGAUCCUGGCUCAGGACGAACGCUGGCGGUGUGCUUCACACAUGCAAGUCGAACGAGGUAGCAAUACCUAGUGGCGGACGGGUGAGUAACGCGUGGGAAUCUGCCUUUAGAUGGGGGAUAACGAGCCGAAAGGUUCGCUAAUACCGCAUAUGCCGUAAGGUGAAAGGAGUAAUCCGUCUAGAGAUGAGCCCGCGUCCGAUUAGCUAGUUGGUAGGGUAAGGGCCUACCAAGGCGACGAUCGGUAGCUGGUCUGAGAGGAUGAUCAGCCACAAUGGGACUGAGACACGGCCCAUACUCCUACGGGAGGCAGCAGUGGGGAAUUUUACGCAAUGGGGGAAACCCUGACGUAGCGACACCGCGUGAGCGAAGAAGCCCCUUGGGGUGUAAAGCUCUGUCGGCUGGAACGAAAAAAAUGACGGUACCAGCAAAGGAAGCAUCGGCUAACUACGUGCCAGCAGCCGCGGUAAGACGUAGGAUGCAAGCGUUGUCCGGAUUUAUUGGGCGUAAAGGGCGCGUAGGCAGAUUUUUAAGUCGGGGGUGAAAUCCCGGAGCUCAACUCCGGAACUGCCUUCGAUACUGAAAGUCUGGAGCACGGUAGAGGUGAGUGGAAUUCCGAGUGUAGAGGUGAAAUUCGUAGAUAUUCGGAGGAACACCAGUGGCGAAGGCGGCUCACUGGACCGUUGCUGACGCUGAGGCGCGAAAGCGUGGGGAGCAAACAGGAUUAGAUACCCCGGUAGUCCAA
rnacentral:rRNA from 1 species